rnacentral:rRNA from 1 species
CAUACAAACAGUAGGAGCCUCGUCAGAGGUGACUGCGUACCUUUUGCAUAAUGGGUCAGCGACUUACAUUCUGUGGCGAGCUUAACCGAAUAGGGGAGGCGCAGCGAAAGCGAGUUCGAAAUGAGCGUUCAGUCGCAGGGUGUAGACCCGAAACCAGAUGAGCUAUCCAUGGCCAGGUUGAAGGUGUGGUAACACACACUGGAGGACCGAACCGACUAGUGUUGCAAAAUUAGCGGAUGAGCUGUGGAUAGGGGUGAAAGGCCAAACAAAUCUGGAGAUAGCUGGUUCUCCCCGAAAACUAUUGAGGUAGUGCCUCGUGUGUCGCUCCAGGGGGUAGAGCACUGUUUUGGCUAGGGGGACAUGGAGUCUUACCAAACCAAGGCAAACUCCGAAUACCUGGAAGCGUAAGCACGGGAGACAGAGCACCGGGUGCUAACGUCCGGACUCAAAAGGGAAACAACCCAGACCGCCGGCUAAGGUCCCAAAUAACAGCUAAGUGGAAAACGAAGUGGAAAGGCCGUGACAACCAGGAAGUUGGCUUAGAAGCAGCCAUCCUUCAAAGAAAGCGUAAUAGCUCACUGGUCGAGUCCUUCUGCGCGGAAGAUGUAACGGGGCUAAGCUGUUAACCGAAGCCGCGGAUGCGCUGGUUAUCCAGUGCGUGGUAGGGGAGCGUUCUGUAAGUCUGCGAAGGCGGUUCGAGAGGACUGCUGGAGAUAUCAGAAGUGCGAAUGCUGACAUGAGUAACGUUAAAGCAGGUGAAAAGCCUGCUCGCCGUAAGCCCAAGGAUUCCUGCUCUACGUUCAUCGGAGCAGGGUGAGUCGGCUCCUAAGGUCAGGCCGAAAGGCGUAGCCGAUGGGAAUCAGGUUAAUAUUCCUGAACCUGCGUCAGAUGCGAUGGGGGGACGGAGCAUGGAAGAUCAUCCGGGUGUUGGAAGUCCCGGUUGUUUAGCGUAGGAGGUCUGCAGGCAAAUCCGCAGACGCAUCUCCAAGGCAAAGACACGUGCCGCUACGGCGGCGAAGUGAUCGGAAGUGCUUCCAAGAAAAGCCUCUAAGCCCCAGUCUGACGCGGACCGUACCGCAAACCGACACUGGUGGGCGAGCUGAAUAUGCUCAGGCGCUUGAGAGAACUCGGGAGAAGGAACUCGGCAAAUUGACACCGUAACUUCGGAAGAAGGUGUGCCGUAGUACCGUGAGAGGAGAGACACCUUGAGCGGGAAACGGUCUCAGAGAAUAGGUGGCUGCGACUGUUUAUUAAAAACACAGCACUCUGCAAAGUCGAAAGACGACGUAUAGGGUGUGAUGCCUGCCCGGUGCUGGAAGAUUAAUUGAUGGGGUGAGAGCCCUUGAUCGAAGUCCCAGUAAACGGCGGCCGUAACUAUAACGGUCCUAAGGUAGCGAAAUUCCUUGUCGGGUAAGUUCCGACCUGCACGAAUGGCAUAACGAUGGCCACACUGUCUCCUCCCGAGACUCAGUGAAGUUGAAAUGUUUGUGAUGAUGCAAUCUACCCGCGGCUAGACGGAAAGACCCCAUGAACCUUUACUGCAGCUUUGCAUUGAACUGUGAACCGAUUUGUGUAGGAUAGGUGGGAGGCAGAGAAGAGGCCACGCCAGUGGCCUUGGAGCCGACCUUGAAAUACCACCCUGAUUUGUUUGCGGUUCUAACCACGGACAGUGAUCCUGUCUUGGGACCGUGCAUGGUAGGCAGUUUGACUGGGACGGUCUCCUCCUAAAGGGUAACGGAGGAGUACGAAGGUACGCUAGGUACGGUCGGAAAUCGUGCUGAUAGUGCAAUGGCAAAAGCGUGCUUGACUGCGAGAGCAACAACUCGAGCAGGUGCGAAAGCAGGUCAUAGUGAUCCGGUGGUUCUGAAUGGAAGGGCCAUCGCUCAACGGAUAAAAGGUA